AGUACCGAAGGUCUUGAUUUCAGGCUGCCAAGAAAAGCCUCUAGCCAGGUGAAGGUGCCCGUACCGCAAACCGACACAGGUAGGCGAGAUGAGUAUUCUAAGGCGCGCGGAAGAACUCUCGUUAAGGAACUCGGCAAAAUGACCCCGUAACUUCGGGAGAAGGGGUGCCUCGGUAGGGUGAAUAGCCCGAGGGGGCCGCAGUGAAAAGGCCCAAGCGACUGUUUAGCAAAAACACAGGUCUGUGCGAAGCCGCAAGGCGAAGUAUACGGGCUGACGCCUGCCCGGUGCUGGAAGGUUAAGGGGAGUGGUUAGCCGCAAGGCGAAGCUAUGAACCGAAGCCCCAGUAAACGGCGGCCGUAACUAUAACGGUCCUAAGGUAGCGAAAUUCCUUGUCAGGUAAAUUCUGACCCGCACGAAUGGCGUAACGACUUGGGCGCUGUCUCAACGAGAGAUCCGGUGAAAUUUUAAUACCUGUGAAGAUGCAGGUUACCCGCGACAAGACGGAAAGACCCCAUGGAGCUUUACUGUAGCUUGAUAUUGGACUUUGGUACGGACUGUACAGGAUAGGUGGGAGCCUUUGAAGCAGGAGCGCAAGCUUCUGUGGAGGCGCCGUUGGGAUACCACCCUGUUCGUAUCGGAGUUCUAACCUAGGACCGUAAUCCGGUUCGGGGACAGUGUCAGGUGGACAGUUUGACUGGGGCGGUCGCCUCCUAAAGAGUAACGGAGGCGCCCCAAGGUUCCCUCAGAAUGGUUGGAAAUCAUUCGAAGAGUGCAAAGGCAUAAGGGAGCUUGACUGCGAGACCUACAAGUCGAGCAGGGACGAAAGUCGGGCUUAGUGAUCCGGUGGUACCGCAUGGAAGGGCCAUCGCUCAACGGAUAAAAGCUACCCUGGGGAUAACAGGCUUAUCUCCCCCAAGAGUCCACAUCGACGGGGAGGUUUGGCACCUCGAUGUCGGCUCAUCGCAUCCUGGGGCUGAAGUAGGUCCCAAGGGUUGGGCUGUUCGCCCAUUAAAGCGGUACGCGAGCUGGGUUCAGAACGUCGUGAGACAGUUCGGUCCCUAUCUGUCGCGGGCGUAGGAAAUUUGAGAGGAGCUGUCCUUAGUACGAGAGGACCGGGAUGGACGUACCGCUGGUGCACCAGUUGUUUCGCCAGAAGCAUAGCUGGGUAGCUAAGUACGGAAGGGAUAAGCGCUGAAAGCAUCUAAGCGUGAAGCCCCCCUCAAGAUGAGAUUUCCCAAUUAGUAAGACCCCUUGAAGACGACGAGGUAGAUAGGUUGGGGGUGGAAGCACAGCAAUGUGUGGAGCUGACCAAUACUAAUCGGUCGAGGGCUUAUCCUAAG
rnacentral:rRNA from 1 species